rnacentral:rRNA from 1 species
CUUGGGCAACUUACCCCUUGGACUGGGAUAGCCACUGGAAACGGUGGGUAAUACCAGAUGGUCUCGCGAGCACUGCGGUGCUUGCGAGUAAACGCGGGGGUCUUCGGACCUCGUGCCGAGGGAGAGGCCCGAGUUCUACCAGCUUGUUGGUGAGGUAAUGGCUCACCAAGGCUAAGACGGAUAGCCGGACUGAGAGGUUGGCCGGCCACACUGGCACUGAGACACUGGCCAG